rnacentral:rRNA from 1 species
CUCGAGUGGCGAACGGGUGAGUAACACGUGGGUGAUCUGCCCUGCACUCUGGGAUAAGCCUGGGAAACUGGGUCUAAUACCGGAUAGGACCGCACUUUAGUGUGUGUGGUGGAAAGUUUUUUCGGUGUAGGAUGAGCCCGCGGCCUAUCAGCUUGUUGGUGGGGUAAUGGCCUACCAAGGCGGCGACGGGUAGCCGGACUGAGAGGUUGGUCGGCCACAUUGGGACUGAGAUACGGCCCAGACUCC